AUCCAAUUAGAAACGGAAGCGAAAGCCUUGACCUCCGAGCGGUUUCUUGGCUUAUUGGCCACAGUGCAGCAAUAUGAAAUUGGCGAUGCACGUGUUGCGAACGAGAAUCAAGCAGCAAUAAAGACCGCACCUACGCCACAAAAAAAGAAACAGAUGCAGGGUGCAAAUAUCUGACAGAUACAAGAUACACAGGGGAUGGCGAUGGAUGGUGAGGGGAAUGUCCGAAAACCAAACGAAAUAGAAACAGAGAGAUAGUGGAACAAUAGAAAAACAAAUGCAAAGAGGGCAACCUUGGCUGCGACUACGAAUCAAGUGCAACGAGGGAAUGCACAAUAAGCCACUCACUCGCACUCGUCGCGCUCUCCCACUCACGUCUGCCUCUCUCGCAUGCGAUAAAAGUAUCUGUGUGAGCUGCUCGCGCUCUCUGGCUCUCUCUCUCUCUCUCUCUCUCUGCCAUUUAACUGCCUUGUGCGCGUGAGAGAGCGGCACAGUGACAGCGCGAAACAACAACAAAAGUGUAAAUUGAAAUUCCAAAGAUGUCGACAAAGUAAAUACGAAAUAAAAACCAAAACGAGACAGCGGCAACAAUAACAAUGGAAAGCUACAACAAAAUGCGCACCACACAAUUCGGCGAAUAAUCAUAAUAAAAAAAAAGGCAGACGAGUAUACAAGGCAACAACAAAAAACAAAAAGUUCAAUAUAUUUUUUAAACAAGUUUCCAGACCCGU
ensembl:ncRNA lncRNA:CR46110 long non-coding RNA:CR46110